AUUAAAGAAAUAUUCAUUAAGAUCAAAGAAGUUUAUACAAUUUCAAGAAUAAAAAAAAUAAAUACAUAAAACUCGUGUCCCUUUGUUAGGGUUGCAUCCAGCCCUAGUGAAGAGAUUAGCCUUCCAUGAAGAGUUGAACAGCUGCACUGCAGGGGGACUUCAUGAUGAUUGGCUCCUUCCUCCCGUCGGCUCCCUCUCAACAAAUCAUCAUCUCUUCCUUUGGGAAAUCAUUCCCAAAGUACCCAAACUCUUCUCUCCCUUUCCUCUUCUUCCCGUGGGAACUUGGCCUGUGAGAGAU
rnacentral:lncRNA from 1 species